UUCAACCUAAGAACCUUAAGUACUAAAAACAUAAACUUGUCUUUAGAGUAAUUCAACCAAGGAACAGCUUGUUUGAAUCAGGACACAACCUUGACCACAGGAUAAUGAAUUCCCCAGAAAACAACUAAGUGGGCCUAAAAGCAGCCACCUAACAAAAGCGUUAAAGCUUCACUGUCUUCCAAUGAAUACCUCACACUUCACAGACUCCUUCAAUAGUACCGAGUACAUCUAUAUUUUAUAGAAAAUUUUAUGUUAAAACUAGUAACAAGAAGUCAUUCUUCUCCUCAAUGCAAGUAUACCCCAGCAAGGACCCACCACUGGAAAUUAACAAACCAGAGCAGAAACCUAACAAGAAAAAUCUCCUUAAUAACCUGUUAACCUAACACAAGAGCAUCCCAAGAAAGAUUAAAAGAAAAAGAAGGAAUUCGGCAAACUCACGCCCCGCCUGUUUACCAAAAACAUCGCCUCUUGAGUUAUAUAAGAGGUCCAGCCUGCCCAGUGACUUUGUUCAACGGCCGCGGUAUCCUAACCGUGCGAAGGUAGCGUAAUCACUUGUUCUUUAAAUAAGGACUAGUAUGAAAGGCAUCACGAGGGCAAAACUGUCUCCUUUUUCUAAUCAGUGAAACUAAUCUCCCCGUGAAGAAGCGGGGAUAUCAUUAUAAGACGAGAAGACCCUUUGGAGCUUUAAAUUGAACGCCACUUAUAUUUUUAUUUUAAUUUCCGAAAACCAACAAAUAUCAUAACCCCUGGCUGUAAAUUUUAGGUUGGGGCGACCGCGGAGAAAAAUUCAUCCUCCACAUUGUUAAGAACCAUCUUAAACAAAAAGCAACAACUUUAUGUAUCAGUAAAAUUGACAUCUAUUGACCCAUUAUUUGAUCAACGAACCAAGUUACCCUAGGGAUAACAGCGCCAUCCACUUUAAGAGCUCAUAUCGACAAGUGGGCUUACGACCUCGAUGUUGGAUCAGGGUAUCCAAGUGGUGCAGCAGCUACUUAAGGUUCGUUUGUUCAACGAUUAAAACCCUACGUGAUCUGAGUUCAGACCGGAGUAAUCCAGGUCAGUUUCUAUCUAUAAUAAGUUACCUCUAGUACGAAAGGACCGAAGUAACAUGGCCUAUGCAAAAGUAAGCCAUACCAAAUUACUUUUGAAAUCAACUUAACAAGUAAUUCACACUACCUUCCUCUAGAAAAGAGAAGUUGAUGUAGCAUAACCAGGCGAUGCAAAAGACCUAA
rnacentral:rRNA from 1 species